rnacentral:misc_RNA from 1 species
GAAAUGCGAUAACUAGUGUGAAUUGCAGAAUUCCGUGAAUCAUCGAGUCUUUGAACGCACAUUGCGCCCCCUGGUAUUCCGGGGGGCAUGCCUGUCCGAGCGUCAUUGCUGCCCAUCAAGCACGGCUUGUGUGUUGGGUCGUCGUCCCCUCUCCGGGGGGGACGGGCCCCAAAGGCAGCGGCGGCACCGCGUCCGAUCCUCGAGCGUAUGGGGCUUUGUCACCCGCUCUGUAGGCCCGGCCGGCGCUUGCCGAACGCAAAUCAAUCUUUUUCCAGGUUGACCUCGGAUCAGGCAGGGAUACCCGCUGAACUUAAGC